CAGAUUCCUAUGGCAAACCAGUUCCAAAGGCCUCUGAACUACAUGGUCAGGUAAAAUCUAUGAUCCUCAAACUCGCUUUACAUAUUCCAUGAAUGAAAUCAGUGUUUGGAAAUGAGCCAUCAGCUGAUUCCAAGGCACUUCAGAUUGUGGAAACUAUUGGAUUGUGCAAAUCUCCUCAUUAUAUGUAAAGUAGAAUGUAACAUUGUCCUGAGGAAGGAAAUUAACAGUUCUGUUCCUCUCCAACAGAAGCCUAAAAUGAAUGAAAUAACCACUCCUAUACAAGCCAUAGCAUUAGCCCAGGAGCUGGAAAAAACAUUAACACAGAACCUGAAAGAACUAAAGAAUCUAGCUACUAGACAUCGUGAAACUGAUCUCGAAAAGCUUGUGAAACCGUUUCUCGAUACACAGAGUACAAAUGAACAGUAUCUGAAAAAUCAACGUACUUCUCUGGAAGGAGCAAAACCAAAGGAACAAAAGAAACCACGGCUGGAAAGGCCGUCUUCCUCAUCAGGUGCAGGGGUUUAACCUCAAAGGGUAAAGAAGCAAGUUGGGGAUCACAAAGUCAUCUGAUUUGGGAGCCUUCAUAGCUUCCAAUUGCUGAAGACUGCUUUCUUUUCCAUUUUCCUAAUGCUCAUUGUUUGGGUAAAAAUAAAUCUGUUUUGCAUUAUAAA